UUAACGUCUACACCAUGGGGCUGGCCCCCUGGACAUACUUGUUCAUAAAUUUUGUUUUUAUAAUUUCUCUGGGAGAUAUAAAUUAAAUUCUGAUAACAAGAUAGGAAAAACAAGUAAAGACAGCAUUCCAGAAUUUCAAAAACCUAGCUCUUGGGAGCAGUUUACUAUGGGAGUGAAAAGCCGUAAAUACUUGAAGUUCCCAGCAACAUUAUUUUAUUACAGUGAUCAUAGUUCAGAGCUUGGGGCUUUGAAGUCAGACACACAGGGAUUCAACUUCUGGUACCUUAUUAAUGGUGUGACCUUGGACAACUUACUUAACUGCUCUAAGCAUCAUUUCUCCACCUGUGCAAUGCCUCAGAAAUUAUGUAGAGGGUUAAAAGAGACUGUGGUUGUAAAAGUUCAUAGUAUAGAUCCUGGUAUCAAGCAAGCCCUCAAAAUAUAUUUACUAUCUUUAUGUUACUACUAUAAUGCCCCGAAUUAGUUUAAAAAUAUUUUAAAUAAUUUACAGCAAAUCUAUUCAAGUAAGUGUCAAAAUAGAAGAGAGUGAAAUAAAGGUGUUACAAAGGGACCAUUGCAGGGCACCCAGACCUCAGAGAGAGUGGCCAUCAAUCUGAUCUUCAGCUAUGAGGUGCCAGAUACUCAAUUUGUCAGGAUGCAUUUUUUUUAAGUGAACUCAGAAGGAUCAGGAGAUGCUUCCUACUCUUGUUUCAUUUUUGGUGGAGACAAUGCCAUUUUUAUAAUACAAUUCACUACCUAGACCACUUUUUAAAACUUUUAUAUCCUAGAAGUCAUUUUGGUCAUUAGAAGUUUGCAUGGUCAGCACAGAAACAGAUCAAAGGGAACUGCAUUAUUUUGUGGAAUUUUUUUAUCCAAGCUGCUUAAAAUCCCAAUGAGGUCUCCUGACCAGGAAAAGUAUACCUUUCCAAUAACUCAUGCACUUCAGGGUCUCUUUCCUUUGGUCAAUGCUGAAUAAAAAAUCUUCCCAAUCUUUUGCUCUUUUUCAGUACUCUGUGAAGACCACCAUAUUAGUUUCCUAUUGCUGCUGUAACAAAUGACCACAAACUUAUAGCUUAAAACAACAUACGUCUUACAGUUCUGGAGGUCAGAAGUCUGAAAUGGGUCUCAGUGGGCUGCAAUGUAGAUGUCAGCAGAGCUGUGUUUCUUCCAGAGGCUCCAGGGUACAAUCUGUUUUCUUGCCUUUUCCACCUUCUAGAAGCUGCCUGUAUUCCUUGGUUCCUGCCACCCUUCCAUCUUCAAAGCCAGCAGAGUCACAUUUCAAGGUGAUCUCUCUCUCUCUCUUCCUCUCUGUCUUUCUGUUUGAUUCUCCCGCCACUCUCUUUCACUUAUAAUGACCCUUGUGAUUUCAUUGGGCUCGCCUGGAUAAUGCUUGCUUGUCCCCCCCUCACAAUAUCCUUAACUUAAUCACAUUUGCAAGAUCUCUUUUGCCAUGUAAGAUAAUAGGUUCCGGGAGUUAGGGGUGGACAGUUUGUGGGGGGCAUUAUUCUGCUUAUUACAACCACCUAGAUAGUCUUUCUGUGGAUAUGUUAAUAUUAUCUAUUACUAAAUGGCAUUUUUCACAUUUAACGAUGCUGCAGUUCGAUUUCCAGACUGCUCUUUAAGCAUCGAUAUGGGAGAAAUCUGGACCUCUAGGUAGAUUUCUAUAAUAGCUCAUCUUAUCCCUUAUGUGUUAAAUUUACUAGUUCAACUCUUAUAGGCUAAUGUUAUAUUGAAGUUCAAGUACUCCUUUGACUUAGCAACUAGAAGUCAUAAAGAUGUAGGUCAUAUAUUUUAGAUAUUUCUGUCUGUAAGUAUAUUUCUUUUUCAAAAUGUUUAUCUUUUGAGGUUGCAAGUUUCAGUUGCAUGGGAAAUUUACUUCCAUGGAAUCUCUCAUUUUCUAAGGAUGAUUCAGUUAGAAAUGACUGUAGCACAUACAGGAGUUUCUUAAAUUUUAGCAAAUACUUUAAUCUGACUCCUCAUUUAGAUGUACUCAUGCUUUUCACUAUCAGUUUAGGUAAAUUGUACAAUGAAUUUUCCUUUUUGAUGGCCUUUCAUAUAUUGAUAUAAUAUGUUUACAUUAACUUGAGGAUAUGUAAUAGGUACUGUUAUUAUAGGAUUUACUAUAUUAAACAGCAAAAUAUAAGAACAGAGUAAGCAUACUUUACCUGGGAGUGAUUUCUACUUGGCAUACAAGCCAUAUUUUAUUGCAUUACCUAUUCAUUUUAUAGGUCCCAAACUAAUAAAUAAAUUGCAAUAGUGGGGAAACAUGGUCAUGACAAGGGGGAGAUAACUGGGAGAAAGGGCUGAGAAGAAGGAAAAGAAGUGUAUUUUUGUGCUCUGGACCAGCCCUUUGAAUAAAGAAAAAUUAUGUACAUGAAGUCUCAGGCAAAUAGCUUUACAUCAUACUAAAUAAUUUAACUAAUUGACAAUAUGGAUAGAAAAAUGAUAGCACUGUUUAAAUUGUAUUUUGAGUGUUGUUGUAUUAAGUGCUUUCUUUUUCAUUCCAUUAUAUGUUUGGAAGUUGUUUUGUCUGAUUAAAUACUCUUAAAAUUUGUGAUCUUAGGCCAAGGUAUGCCUACCAAGUUUAUCAUGAAAGCAAAUCUUCUAGAAAUCCAUUUCAUAGAAGGCUAAUUUUCAAAGAUGUGUGGCUUGAUGCUGUCUUCUAGGAAAUGUAUUGCUUUUAGAAGUUGUACUAACUCUUCUGAGCAUUAAGCUAAUGUGUAGUAUCUUAUGGAUACUAUGUUGGGAAAUUAUAACUUGGGAACCUAUUUAUAAUAUCUAUUCUUUCUUCACUAGAAUAACACUUUUGCAAUGACUUUGGAGUUCUCUGAGAUAACUCAAGGCUGGUGAGUGGAAAGAUAAUGUUGAUAGUAUAAACUAGCUAAUGUAGUAAUACGUCUUGAUUGCUUCCUAUAUGCUAUGUUUCCCAGUUAAUCAUCAUAAUCAUCUUGUAAGGUAUGAGCUGGUAACCCCAUUUUCCAGAUAAGAAAAUUGAGUUUCAGAUAGACGUUAGUUACUCUAGAUUAAUUUUUUAAAUAAAUUAAUAUAAACAAUAGAUCUCUUCUCAAUUGACCACUUGAAUAUCUGCUCUGGUCUCUUUCCAAAUUAUUUACUCUGUCUAAUUGUUACAGCGUUUUGAGUAUUCUAGAUUUUAUCCCAUGUUCAAGGUAUCAAACAUUUGUUUUCUUGUAAUCCAUCUGUAUUAGUGUCCUAGGGCUGCUGUAACAAAGUGCCACAAACUGGGGGGGCUUAAAACAACAGAAAUUUUUUCUCUCACAGUGCUGGAGAAGUCUGAAAUCACGGUAUCUACAGGGCCAUGCUCCUGCUGUGACACUGAGUAGAAUUCUUCCUUGCCUCUUCCUAGCUUCUGGUGGUGGCUGUCAAUCCCUAGCAUUCCUUGGCUUGCCACUGCAACACUCUAGUCUCUGCCUCUGUCAUCGCAUGGCAUUUUCUCUAUGUCUUCACAUGCCAUCUCCUUCCUGUGUCUCUCUCUCCUCUUCUUGUAAGGACACAGUCAUUGCAGAAUAAGGACCUACCCUGUUCCAGUGUGCCCUCAUCUUAACUGAUUACAUUGGUAACAACCCUAUUUUCAAAUAAGAUCAUAUUCUUUUGGCCUGGGGGUUAAGAUUUCAGCAUAUCUUCUUUGGGGGACACAAAUCAACCCGUUACGCUAUGGGUACUAUAUUUGGGAAAACAUAGAGUUAUUUUUGUAAAUUGUGUUUUUUGGCAUUAUUUUCUCAGCUUUAUAUCAAAGGAUGUCACAACCAAAAUUGUAUGAAAAUAAUUAUUGUACUUUUUAUAACUAGGUGUUUAUCCAAGUUUGUUUCAAGAAAUACUAGUUUUCAAGAUGCUCUAAGAAAAAUGGAGUGUGUUAUCAAAUGGUUGUGAGAUAUACUGCAUGUUAUUCUAUAUUUUAUGUGCCCUUCUUGGAGACCUAGUGCCCCUUAGGAUAUUAAAGUCACUGAGAAGUCCUGUGUAAAAUCUAUUGAACCUAACCCUAAGUUCCCCAAACAUGUUUGAUGUUGGAAACUCUUUAGCAUGUGACACUUGUGACUUUGCACAACUAUCUGGGAAAAAUGCCAAAUUAGGGGAUCACAGCAUAGAAACUGUUGUCCCUUUUCAUUAAGAACAUGGACAGAUUCCCUAAGCUUUGUUUGCUUCAGUUUUCUCAACUGUAAAGUAAUAAUAAUUGUAGUUACGUCAUGAAAAGUAUUGAGACUAUUAAAUAAGAUAAAACAGGCAAAGAGCAUGACCCAUUGUUCAGCCAUAGAAAGGGCCCAACAUAUCUUUAUCAUUAUUGUGUUAUACUUAUCAAUAUUUGUAACUAGGCAUUAAUCCAGAGUGAUGCUGAGAUCCAUCAAAUAAGAGGGCCAUACUUAUUAGCUAGAACACAGUCUUUAUAUAAGUUACAGAAUAAAGAGAUCCUAUUUUUUACUCUCAAACUAUUUAAGUAUUUUAGGUGUUUUACAGCAAUAUCUCAGGAAACAGAAAAAAGAUUAUAUUAGAAUUAGUGUAAUAUGUAUAGUAAGAAAGGGAACUGUGCAGUACCCUUUAGGAAGAGUUUUUUGGAGACUGAUUAACAUUAAGAAGCUUCUUUAUUAAGACUACUAGUCAUUUUAUUGUGCUAUUAAUGAAGUGAGGCCCCUGGAGCAAUUGAAAUAUACAAGGCUGAGAGAACUUGCACUAAAAGCCCCAGAAUGCUAUGCUUCGGAUUUUUGUGUGUUUUCUCCUAUUGUCCUUUAUGUCAGGCAUUCAGUUGAAAAUUUUUUUCUCUGUUUCCCAGGUACUUUAUUCUAUCACUUAUUUCAACCUUUGCUCUUUUAAAAUAUACUGUGUACUGGAAACCUGAUCAUGAGGGUUAUUCAAUUGACUCUAAAAUAAUAAAGAUGGCUGAAAGCUUUUUUUUUUUGCUGCAGAUUCUUGAUCAUAUUUUUCUACGUGGUUGAAAUUGCUAACUCAGUGACCUCCAUCCAGUUCGUAAAAUGUUACUGGAUUAUGUCCCUUAAAAGGAUUAUGUUUGUGUAACCUAAAGAUAGCUCCCAAGCUACCACUUCACCAUUGUUUCUCAGUCUCUGAAUGCCCUUCUUUCCCCAUCAGUUCCUCAUAAUUUCUGCAAAUGAGUGCCAACCUGGCUCUCACCAUGCCUUUUACAGCUCCACCGCUCAAGUCAGAAGCUUGUCUUCCUGCCUGUUGAAGGGUAUGAACUGCUCUCCCAGCACAACUUCAUACUGAAUGUCAGUUCUGUCUUGGACUUGCUGCAGACUAUGCUUGGAGUCUCCUUUGGAUAUAUAGAAAUGUCACUCUAUUCUUUGUCAGUCAUCUCACUUAGAAGAAGAAUAAUGCUAAAAGGACGGUUAGAAAUUUUCCAUUCAGGUAUUUCUGAAUUCAAAAAUUUUCACACUCUUUUCUUGGCUGUUCAACUCUGGCUAUUUGUGAAUAAGUCAUUUGAGGGGAUUACUAUUUUUUGUUUUUGUUAAGAAAGAAUUCUAGUUAAAUAUAACAUAUAUACCAAGUAUAUAUUAUUAAUUUUCAAAGAGCUCAUAGAGCAUAGAAUGUAUAGCCAGCAAUGAAAGUAUGCUACAGAGAUUUCUUUUUUCUUUAGUAAAUAUUCAGGGAUCAUUUAAUGAGUCAAGGUCAUAAUUUUAACAACCACUUUGUGAUUAUAUUUAGAAGUAUGGAUUAGUAUUUAAUAGACUGCCAAGUAAAAUCACUUGUCCAUGCUAGUACUUUACAUACAUUGUUUCAUUUAAUCUUUCAUCUGCAUAUGAGUUUGGCUUUAUUAUCCCUUGUAUUGCAGAUGAUGAAGCCAAGGCUCAAGGAUUUAACUUGUCCUUCACAGUGGAUAGGUGACAGGAUUGGGAUUUGAUUCAAAGUUGCCUGAAACCUGAGUAUAUGUAUCCUGCUCUACUAUAUUGCUUCUGAUGACACAAGGGUGAGGACAAAUCAGAGAAGAGAAAAAAAUGCUGGAUUAAAGAAUGAUAGAGGAAAAUUCAAAGUUGUUUUAGAGGCUGUCUGAAAAUGUGGUGAGUUGGCUUAUCUAAAAAGAAUAUAUUUAUUUUCAAUACUAUCUAGAGUAGAUGCUCAGCAAAAUAUUUAUCCCCAUCAUAGUGGGAGGGAGAUAAACAUACUUCCAGUUAAGUUUGGGGCUUUUUCUUCUGUUGUAUAAUUAAUGCUAUCCAACCUUAGUUGGACUGUUACCAUGACUUGAUGGCUCUUUUCGGUCUUAUGAGGGAGGCUGUGAUAUUUAAUAGAAUAUGUUCUCCCAAUUUUAUUUUCUCAUCAUGUCUCCAAGCUAUACACUCACUGUUGCUUUGUUAGAUACCCUUUAUGCUUCUGGGGGACCAUCACUUGUGGACAGUACUACCUUUUUCUAAUCCUUUAAAAAUGCCCAUUGAUCUCUAUUCUUUCCCUGAAUCUUUGCCGAGGGCAACACUUCCACCUCUGAUUCAGAGUCCAUCCCCUUCUGCCUCCUCUGUGAUCUUGCUUACAUCCUUACUCUCUCUCUAUUGCACUUCUUGCCUCUACCUACAUCCAAACUAAAAUUUCCAUAUCCCAAUAAAAUUUCUUUUUCACCAUUACUCCAUCUGAGUGGUCUCUCUUCACUGCUGUUUCUCUUAUUCCCUUCAUUUGCAAAAUCCCGUUGCCUGAAUACUUUCACUAAUCAAUUAUUUUUUACUCCUCCACAAUCUGGCUUCUGCCUUUUCAAUAUUUUAUUGAAACUGUUCUUAUGUAAUGGAUACAUGGAAUGACCUCCAUGAUGUACCUGUAAUGUUUGGCGGUAUUGAUCAGCUCCCUCCCCCACAACUGAAACUCUCUCCUCCCUGGUUUCUGUGACAUAGUUCUGUCUUGGUUACCUUCAUAGUUCACAAACUUACUGGUUCCUUUUCCUUCUCUUCUGUGCCAAGUGUAUGAAGGCAUUCUUGAAGGUGUAUUCAUCAACUCUCUUCUCUCAUUUGUUUAUUGACUUAAGAUUAAAUCCAGCCUCCUUACCAUGGGUCCCAGGAGUCUGCAUGAUCUGGUCCUGGCUUACUUUCUGACUUCAACUCAUAUUUCCCUUCUUUGGCAUCAAUAUGCUCCAGUCACUCUGGCCUCCCUUCAAUUCCAAGAACCACAUGUGCUUUUUCCUUCAUGUGUACUUAGUAAAUGCUAUACCUGGCUCUUCACAUGCUUGGCUCUUUCUUUGGAUGUCAGUUUAAAUGACUACCUUAAACAGAAAAGUUCUGUUCUUUUGCUGCCCAGUGAAAUCAGCUAUAAAAUGAGCUUGUGCUAGAUGUCCUCUAGAGUUCGUUCUGGAUCUUUAAUUCUGUGAUAGACCUAAAUGACCUAAGAUGAUAAAGUUGAAAGGCUGCCAUAAUGGCCAUCAAGUGAAAUACCUUCAAAUAACUCCUUCAUCAACUCUGUGUCCCCAACAGCUAGAAUAUAGUUUAUGCACGGUGGAUGCCUAAUGAAUAAAUCAGUUGUCACUGUGUGACUUAACAUAAGUCACUUCUCUUAGUGCUUCAUCUUUGAUGCUUAUGCUUCACUUUUGCUUCUUUCUUUUAUUUCUGGUGAGAAGUGACAUAGAGAAUCUAAUCCUUUCAGGAUCAAAGGUGGCAAGUGUUAAAAAGGAAACAUUAACUCAGACAAUUGGGCACCAUUUUCUUGUAUCCCUGAUUUAAUGGACUGCAAUAGUUGACUUUUUAAACUUAUUUUUAAUAUAGCUUUUAGGCAACAAGAAAAUAGAUAAAAAGCUUUUGCCUUUAAAAGCAUACAGUUGUAUAAAUUCCAGUUAUUUACUGACAUAUGUCAUUUUAAAGAUUUUCUUAUGACUCUCCUAUAAAAUAAAAUACAUUUCCGAGUUUCAUUCUCUGAAUCCAAGAAUAAAUAUUUUGGUUUUCUGUCAAUGAUUUUUCCACAGGAACAUGGCUGUAAAAUGAAUCCUUUGUGUUAAAAAAA